AGCUUUGCACAGUGGCAGUAUCGUAGCCAAUGAGGUUUAUCCGAGGCGCGAUUAUUGCUAAUUGAAAAUGGGAAUUUUAACAAAACCAUCUCUUCAAUACUUUUAGCAAAAUAUCUUCUCUUAUAGUCCAUUAAGGUAU